rnacentral:lncRNA from 1 species
AUAAUAGUAACAAUAAUAUUAGCGAUAGUAGUAACAAUAAUAUUAGCGAUAAUAGUAACAAUAAUAUUAGCGAUAGUAGUAACAAUAAUAUUAGCGAUAAUAGUAACAAUAAUAUUAGCGAUAAUAGUAACAAAAAUUGUAUGGUAAUAAAAAAAAAUAAUAAAUCGGAUAUAACUAACUUAAAAACAAAGGAAAAUACAAAAAUAAAAAAUGUGAACAUAUAUUUACAUGAAUUUGAUUAUAGUAGUGACAGUACCCAUUCUUCUUAUAUUAACAAAAAUGUUAAACAAAAUAAAAAAUUGCCUGAACAAAGUAUUAAAUACAAAAAUGGUAGUAAUCUUAACGAAUCAAUACAUUUAAGUCAAACAAAAAAAAAGAAAUGCUUAAGUAAUUUAAGUGACCUAAGUGAUUUAAGUAACUUAAGUGAACAUAGUAAUAUAAAAAGUCAAUCGUUUUUAAUCUUAAAAAAUUCGAAGAUAUCUACUAAAUCAAAUUUGGAAGAGCUUAAUUCGAAUAAGAUAGAAAUAACAAAUAAGUCUCAAAUUUUAUCAAUGUAUAAUAAUGUAAACAAUGUAAGUAACAACAUUUUAACGACUAAAAUUGGUGGAGUAAUGAACCAUAAGAAUAAUCUUAUAACUACCCUCGGAGAAGAUACUAAAAAAGCAGUCGAACAAAUUAAUACUUAUGAACUUGUAGGAAAAAGUGAAAAUUUAUCUACUAUGCUUAAAAACAGCGAAACGAAUAAAACUGAAGAAAUUGAACAUAGUGACAAUGGGGAAAGUGAAAAAAGUAGGAAUGAAAAGAGUAGGAAUGAAAAGAGUAGGAAUGAAAAGAGUAGGAAUGAAGAAAGUAGGAAUGAAGAAAGUAGGAAUGAAGAAAGUAGGAAUGAAGAAAGUAGGAAUGAAGAAAGUAGGAAUGAAGAAAGUAAGAAUGAAGAAAGUAAGAAUGAAGAGAGUGAAAAUGAAGAAAGUAAUCAGAGUAAGAAUAAAGAAAUAAAAAAAAAUGUGAGGUUUUUUUUUAAAAAUGAAACAAAUGAAGAUAUAACUGAGAAAAAACAAAAAUUUUUUAUGAGUGGCGAUGUACAAAAAAAGGAAAGACCUGAAUCAGCAGAAGAAACAAAGGAAGUGGAAAAAACAAAGGAAGUGGAAAAAACAAAGGAAGUGGAAAAAACAAAGGAAGUGGAAAAAACAAAGGAAGCGGAAAAAAUAAAAAAAGCGGAAGAAAUAAAAAAAGCGGAAGAAAUAAAAGAAGCGGAAG